rnacentral:lncRNA from 1 species
AAAUUAAUAAAAUAUUUGCCAAACUAUUUCUAUAUUUAAUCGCAUAAAAUCUAAUACCAAAUACAAUUUAUUUCUGAAUAAAUUGGUAUGUAAAAUAACUUUGUAUAAUUCUUAAACAGUAUUAACUGUUUUUGCAAAAUAUUAAAAUAACAAUAUACCAAUGUUGCUUAGCAACAAACAUGUACUUCGGUCACGAGUUCCG